UGUAACAUGGAAUAAAAAAAAUUAAUGUCGAAUUCCUUUCAAUUGAAAAAUCGAAUUUUCGGCGAUCUCGAAGCGAAUUUUUUCUGAAAAUCAUGUUCCAUAGAAAAAAAAUUCGCCUCAAACGAAGCAGAAUUCGAAUUUUUUUUAAUCCUUCUUUUUUGAGAGAUUUACACGGAUUUGCACACACACUUGGAACAUUUGACAUUUCUCAAACGUCAGCUGAAAGUUUUCUUCGUGUUGUUUGUUUAUUUGAGAAAACCAACUUCAAAUAAAGAGAAAAUUUUAAUUGAAUAUCGUAUUUUUAUUGCGGAAAAAUAUGAAAUAAAUAAAAAAAACAAUGUGCGAUCAAAAUAUAUUUUUUCCUGGCAUAGUUCUUGUGAAAAAGUCAAAUUACUGUGACUUUUCUUCUCGUAAUUAUCGUCAGAAAAAUUUUUCUCUGUAAAACCACAGCAUACGGCCAAAAUAAUAACCUUCUACUUCAUCUUCACUCAGAUCUCAAUAAUAACUGCAAUUUCCCUUUGAUUCUGAUUAAAAUAAAUCUAUAUUACCGAAGAAAAUAAACAAAAUUAUUGAUCAAAGGAAUCUCUGGUUUUAUUUUGCAGAAAUUGUUUUGGUUUCAGCUUGACGUUUGUGUAAAAAUUGUUGUCAAAUGACACACAUACAAUCGCAAAAAGAAUUCGGUCUGUUUUCAUGUUCCUUUUUAACAACCAAAAAUUCCAUUUUUUUGAGGCGAUUCAAAAAAUUGAAAGGAAUUCGACAUAACUUGAACAGAUGCGAAGCGUUGUUUUAUUUCUUUUAAUCACACUUUUAUUUCUCCUUUAUAAAUUAAUUAAUUAGUUUGGAAACAAAAUAAAAUAAGUAAUAAAGAACCAAAGUCCUUAAAAAAAUCCCACAAUAACUUAUCAAAUCAAUUGAACAACCUGCGUUUUAUUUUUGUUUUUGUCCGAUUCGCAACUACACAAAAAAUAACAUGUCGGCUUAUCCUUGAACAGGAAUUAGCAAGACGCUGCUCAAAGAUAAAUCCUAAGGAGAUAUAUUAUUCCGACGAAUACUACGAUGACGAGUUUGAGUAUCGGCACGUUGUCCUGCCCACAUGGAACUUGUAAACUUGUCCCAAAGACACUUCUCAUGUCGGAAAAUUAAUGACGAGCAACUGGUGUGUACCAGUCCCGUGGAUUGGUGCAUUAUAUGCUACACAAACCAGGGCUUCUGUAGACCGAUCGAACCAAAAUAAAAAAAUUCCAAUCCAACGCCAUUGAAUUUCAAGUGCCGAAAUACGAUGUACUCAGUAAUACCUACAAUCUCUGCUAGGUCACUUCCAAAGUAAUUAACAUGAUUUUUAUUUUGUAACACAGUGUAAUUAAGGCGGUGAAAAUAAGUUACGAAUUCUUGUAGAGGUAAACGGGAAAGAGAACCCAAAAAGUAAAGUUAAAAUGCUGAGAAUCCACGAAGUGGUCCAGUCAAGGUACUUUUUAGAUAAUAAAAGCUAUUGACAUUAGCGCCUGCCUGGCGAGGUAUCUAAUGUUUUUCUUAGAGAUACACAAAGCUCUCAACCAACUCUAUGUAUUAACUAUCAAAAAUCUUUUUAAUGGUGUCAAACAUACGGUGUUUGAUCAGAAAUCAAUUGGGGCAGUUUACUUUAACAAUCAAUUUUGUAUUGAAAUUCACAGUCUCAACAAAAAUAGAAUUUAAUGUAUUUUUUUAAGUUAUUUUUUCACAAUUUUUGACUCUAAAUUCGAUUAUUUCAAAAACUAUUGACAAAAACUAUUUCAAUAACUUGAUUUGAAAUUAAAAAUUAAUAGUAAAAUUCUAGCUUUUUAAAAAGUGCUUGUAUUUGACUGUUCUACAAAAUUCCGUUACUAUUUUUCACCGCCUUAGUUAUCGUGUACUUAUUUUUGCACUUUUGGAGGUUUUGUUCUCCUUCACUCCACAAAAGGGUAAACAAAAAUUUACUCCGGAGUAAUUUUAGUACUACUGUGUACUUCGGACUUAUUCCACAUUCUUAGUCAGAUUUACACCUAUUUGCACACGGACUUGUACACACACUUAUGAAUUCGGAGUUGACAUUUUGUUUGAAAAGUGUUUCUUUUAUAGCUUUUUGUUAUUAACAAAAAGGACCAUUAUGAAUGUAUGUUCUAUUGUAUUAUAUUCCGCCAGAUUCAUUUUUUCCAUUAUUUUCGUUAAUUCAUCACUAUUUACAACUUUUUCCAAAAUUUAAUUGAAAACUGAAUGUUUCAGCCUUUAUUGAAAUUCCACUUUGUUACCCCUUGAAAACCCCCCUUUUCCAACUCACAAUAUAAAAAGUAUACUGCCCAUAAUCUCGUAAAGGCUCUAACUACAUUUUUCAUAAUUCUGAGUUAUACAAGGAAACACUUAAUCUAUUAUUGCAAUCUGAGUAUAGAAAUUAAAAUUGGAAUUUCCAAAAUGAAGAUGCGCAAGUUGUGUAUCAAGCAAUCAAAUUGCGCGCGCGAUUUCAUUGCUUGAUAGACAACUUGCGCAUCUGAAAUUUUGGGAUUUUCGCUCGGAGAUUUUUUUUUUUUGAGAUUUUUUCCUGGAGAUUUUGUCUAUACCCAGGUCUGUCUUGGGGAUUUUGGCUUUGGGGAUUUUAUCUUUGGGAUUAUGGGUUUUGGUCAUUCAUCACCAACCCGCGAAUGGCAACUGAUGCUAUAUAAUUCUCAAUAUAAAUACCAAAGUUGACCUCGUUGCGCUAUUGCUAAACAAAUAACGUUAUGUACAAAUAAUGGUCGCUGGCAAUGGCCUACACAAUCUAAUAAAUCGAGCCUUUAAAUAUCAGGAUGCUGUUCUAAUAAAACGUAUUCAAAAUCUAUCACCGCAUAAAAAUCUUCAACACAUUAUGUUUAUCGAUUAUGUGAGAUUUGGCCCGCAUCAAAUCACAGUGAAUAAGAAACCGAAAUUUCUGCACGUAUCCGAAAUCACAAAAACUGGCAGGAGGACAUCAUUGGAAUUCGGAGCGACCCAGAGUGCCCUAGAGCUCACAACGAACAAACCUUAUGUAAUUGACUGCAUCCAGAAGAAUUUCUCUGAAAAUACUGGAGCCCAAACACCUAAAACGAUUUGGUGUCUGUUUAAAUACAAUAAACCAAGUAAUGCGAUCAAGUAUGAUGCGCAAAAUGUAUCAACUGAAUAUUAUGUACAUAUUUUAUAAACCACUUUUGCAAUGAACAAAAAGUAUUGUUUAAAUAUAUUGAUAAAGUAUGAACUUAGUUGUUAAAUAAGUAUAAUAAUACUUAGUUAUUUUUUCAAUAACUAACAACCACAGAUUGAGUGAUUAUAAAAAUUCUUGAAUUAAAUUGUUCGAAUGUU